UACAGCUCAGCGUUUGCCUUAGUUGAACACAGUUUGAACACUCGACAGUGUAUGAAUGCUUGAAGUAUGGCUGCUGGGAUUGGCCAAGACUCAGCCACUGUUACAGGUGCACACUCCCAAGGACUUUUCCUUACUUCGGCUAAAGACGGGGUUCUUGUCUGGCCCACAACCAUGAAAAUUUAGGUUCACAGAUGGUUUAAAGGAGAGAUUGCUGUGACUUUGAAUUCUGUGGAAUCUACACAUCAAUUUGAGGAGAGCAGACAACUUAACAAUGUUGUAUCUUCCAAAGAACAUAGUAUCUAUCUUCAUUUAUUCUGAUCCUCUUUAAUUGCUUUCAGCAAUAUUUGUCAUGGGUGAGGGUGAGAUGCUGUUCUGUGCUAUGUAGAAGGUUUAGCAGCAUAUUUGACCAUUAGAUGCCCGUAGCACCUCCCCACCAAGCUGCCACAAUCAAAGUGACUCC